rnacentral:rRNA from 1 species
AACGAACGCUGGCGGCGUGCCUAAGACAUGCAAGUCGUGCGAGAAAGGGGCUUCGGCCCUGAGUACAGCGGCGCACGGGUGAGUAACGCGUGGGCAACCUACCUCGAAGUUGGGAAUAACCCGGGGAAACCUGGGCUAAUGCCGAAUGAGCCUACGAAGUCCUCGGAUCAUGUGGGAAAAGAUGGCCUCUGCUUGCAAGCUAUCGCUUUGAGAUGUGCCCGCGUCCCAUUAGCUAGUGGGUGAGGUAACGGCUCACCAAGGCUCCGGUGGGUAGCUGGUCUGAGAGGACGAUCAGCCACACUGGAACUGAGACACGGUCCAGACUCCUACGGGAGGCAGCAGUCGGGAAUCUUGGGCAAUGGGCGAAAGCCUGACCCAGCGACGCCGCGUGAGGGAUGAAGGCCUUCGGGUCGUAAACCUCUGUCAGGAGGGAAGAACGUCGGCGAGGUGAACAAUCUCGUUGGUUGACGGUACCUCCAAAGGAGGCGCCGGCUAACUCCGUGCCAGCAGCCGCCGUAAUAC